CACGUAGGGCGCAAGCGUUGUCCGGAAUUAUUGGGCGUAAAGAGCUCGUAGGCGGUCUGUUGCGUCCGCUGUGAAAACCCAGGGCUUAACCCUGGGCUGGCAGUGGAUACGGACAGACUAGAGGUAGGUAGGGGAGAAUGGAAUUCCCGGUGUAGCGGUGAAAUGCGCAGAUAGUCGGAGGAACACCGGUGGCGAAGGCGGUUCUCUGGGCCUUACCUGACGCUGAGGAGCGAAAGCGUGGGGAGCGAACAGG
rnacentral:rRNA from 1 species